rnacentral:lncRNA from 1 species
UCUCUGGGAAAUAUCAAUCUUGAAUGUUGUCAAGUGCAACUGUAGCAAACGUGUUGUACAGAUGUUGAACAAUGAUCCGCCUCUGCCGGGGAUAUGGUCUGAUUAGGUUUGACAUAUGAAUGCAUAUGUUUGAAUUUUUCUAUGGCGUAUUGCUCCAUAUUGAAUGGAAAUGCUACGCGUUUUAAGGAUGCAAUGAUUAC